rnacentral:rRNA from 1 species
GGCGUAGGGUGCAAACGUUGCUCGGAAUCAUUGGGCGUAAAGCGCACGUAGGCGGUCUGUUAUGUCGGAUGUGAAAGCCCUUGGCUCAACUGAGGAAGUGCAUCCGAAACUGGCAGGCUAGAGUACUAAAGAGGAUCGCGGAAUUCCCGGUGUAGAGGUGAAAUUCGUAGAUAUCGGGAGGAACACCGGUGGCGAAGGCGGCGAUCUGGGUAGAUACUGACGCUGAGGUGCGAAAGCGUGGGAGCAAACAGG